GGAGCCGCGAGCGAGGCGUGAGCGGCUGCAGGGCUGCUGUGUCCGCGAGGUGGAAUUGACGGACCAGGCCAGGAGCAUUUUGAUGGAAUCGUUGGUGGCUGAGUUUCACCUGUUGAAAGGCGUCUGGGAGUGGGCCAUCUCAACUGGGGCGGCUAGGGCAUCGGCACACCGGUUGCCCUCCGCGAUGAACCCCGGUAGGUCAGUGUGUGACCUCACAUGCAUAACAUAGAAGGGUUGUUCUCGGUGGGAGACUAGAUCUG